GGCUUCGUAGCUCAGCUGGUAGAGUGUUUGCUGCGUUUCGGCAUGGUGUUUCUGUCGUUGAUUCGAAUUCAGCCGAAGUCA